CUUGACUCUUAUAAGAGGUCCAGCCUGCCCAGUGACCAUGUUCAACGGCCGCGGUAUCCUAACCGUGCGAAGGUAGCGUAAUCACUUGUUCUUUAAAUGUGGACUAGUAUGAAUGGCACCACGAAGGUUAUACUGUCUCCUUUUUCUAAUCAGUGAAACUAAUCUCCCCGUGAAGAAGCGAGGAUAUACCUAUAAGACGAGAAGACCCUAUGGAGCUUUAAACAACACAGCAAUUACCUGCUAAACUAAGAAGUUUCUGAACAUUUUCAAUCUUUUAAGUAAUCUGACUGCAAGUUUUUGGUUGGGGUGACCACGGAGCAUAACACAACCUCCAUGUUGAAAGAAUUCUUUCUAAGCUAAGAACAACCUUUCUAAGCAUCAAUAUAUUGACAUCCAUUGACCCAAUACAUUUGACCAACGAAC
rnacentral:rRNA from 1 species